UACGUAGGUGGCAAGCGUUGUCCGGAUUUAUUGGGUUUAAAGGGUGCGUAGGCGGCUUUGUAAGUCAGUGGUGAAAUAUGGCAGCUCAACUGUCAGGGUGCCAUUGAUACUGCGGAGCUUGAGUACAGAUGAGGUAGGCGGAAUUGACGGUGUAGCGGUGAAAUGCUUAGAUAUCGUCAAGAACACCGAUAGCGAAGGCAGCUUACUGGGCUGUAACUGACGCUGAGGCACGAAAGUGUGGGGGAUCAAACAGG
rnacentral:rRNA from 1 species